rnacentral:rRNA from 1 species
AACGAACGCUGGCGGCAGGCUUAACACAUGCAAGUCGAACGAGCUGAGGGCUUCGUUCCCCGAUGCUAGUGGCGCACGGGCGAGUAACACGUGGGAAGAUGCCCUUUAUUACGGAAUAACCAAGGUAAACGUUGCCUAAUAUCGUAUAGGCUCUUCGGGGGAAAGACUUAUCGCAAAAGGGUUAGCCCGCGUCGGAUUAGGUAGUUGGUGAGGUAAUGGCUCACCAAGCCGACGAUCAGUAGCUGGUCUGAGAGGACGAUCAGCCACACCGGGACUGAGACACGGCCCGGACUCCUACGGGAGGCAGCAGUGGGGAAUAUUGGACAAUGGGGGCGACCCUGAUCCAGCCAUGCCGCGUGAAUGAAGAAGGCCUUCGGGUUGUAAAGCUCUAUCGACGGGGACGAUGAUGACGGUACCCUUAUAAGAAGCCCCGGCAAACUUCGUG